CCUACGGGAGGCAGCAGUGGGGAAUAUUGCACAAUGGGGGAAACCCUGAUGCAGCGACGCCGCGUGAGUGAAGAAGUAUUUCGGUAUGUAAACCUCUAUCAGCAGGGAAGAAAAUGACGGUACCUGACUACGAAGCCCCGGCUAACUACGUGCCAGCAGCCGCGGUAAUACGUAGGGGGCAAGCGUUAUCCGGAUUUACUGGGUGUAAAGGGAGCGUAGGCGGUUGAGCAAGUCAGAAGUGAAAGCCCGGGGCUCAACUCCGGGACUGCUUUGGAAACUGCUGGGCUAGAGUGCUGGAGAGGUAAGUGGAAUUCCUAGUGUAGCGGUGAAAUGCGUAGAUAUUAGGAGGAACACCAGUGGCGAAGGCGGCUUACUGGACUGUAAAUGACGCUGAGGCUCGAAAGCGUGGGGAGCAAACAGGAUUAGAUACCCCGGUAGUC
rnacentral:rRNA from 1 species